ACACUGUACGAGUUUGAUCCUGGCUCAGAACGAACGCUGGCGGCAGGCCUAACACAUGCAAGUCGAGCGAACCCUUCGGGGUUAGCGGCGGACGGGUUAGUAACGCGUGGGAAUAUACCCUUUGGUACGGAAUAGCCUCGGGAAACUGAGAGUAAUACCGUAUGUGCCCUUCAAGGGAAAGAUUUAUCGCCAAAGGAUUAGCCCGCGUUGGAUUAGGUAGUUGGUGGGGUAAUGGCCUACCAAGCCUACGAUCCAUAGCUGGUUUGAGAGGAUGAUCAGCAACACUGGGACUGAGACACGGCCCAGACUCCUACGGGAGGCAGCAGUGGGGAAUCUUAGACAAUGGGCGCAAGCCUGAUCUAGCCAUGCCGCGUGGACGAUGAAGGCUUUAGGGUUGUAAAGUCCUUUCAGAUGGGAAGAUAAUGACGGUACCAUCAGAAGAAGCCCCGGCUAACUCCGUG
rnacentral:rRNA from 1 species